GAGUACACUUUAAAUCCUUUAACGAGUAUCCAUUGGAGGGCAAGUCUGGUGCCAGCAGCCGCGGUAAUUCCAGCUCCAAUAGCGUAUAUUAAAGUUGUUGCGGUUAAAAAGCUCGUAGUUGGACUUGUGUCCCGCGCUGUCGGUUCACCGCCCGCCGGUGUUUAACUGGCAUGGUUCGCGGGACGUCCUGCCGGUGGCGGCGAGCCGAAGCGUUGCCCGUGCUUCGCUUCUGCUGUAGUGCGUAGGUGGCGUGGAGGCGGACCCCGAUUCAAUCCCACCGCGGUGCUCUUCAUCGAGUGUCGAGGUGGGCCGGCACGUUUACUUUGAACAAAUUAGAGUGCUUAAAGCAGGCCGGUCGCGCCUGAAUACUGUGUGCAUGGAAUAAUGGAAUAGGACCUCGGUUCUAUUUUGUUGGUUUUCGGAACCCGAGGUAAUGAUUAAUAGGGACAGUCGGGGGCAUUCGUAUUGCGACGUUAGAGGUGAAAUUCUUGGAUCGUCGCAAGACGAACCGAAGCGAAAGCAUUUGCCAAGUAUGUUUUCAUUAAUCAAGAACGAAAGUUAGAGGUUCGAAGGCGAUCAGAUACCGCCCUAGUUCUAACCAUAAACGAUGCCAGCUAGCGAUCCGCCGAAGUUCCUCCGAUGACUCGGCGGGCAGCUCUCGGGAAACCAAAGCUUUUGGGUUCCGGGGGAAGUAUGGUUGCAAAGCUGAAACUUAAAGGAAUUGACGGAAGGGCACCACCAGGAGUGGAGCCUGCGGCUUAAUUUGACUCAACACGGGAAACCUCACCAGGCCCGGACACUGGAAGGAUUG
rnacentral:rRNA from 1 species